AGGUGAGGGACGCUGGAAUGCCUCCUCGCCCAAAGCUCCGGCGCCCAAGGAUGGGACUGCGGUCUAUCAGGCUGUUGGUGGUGUAACGGACCACCAAACCUACGACGGGUACGGGCGAUGGGAGUCGGAGCCCGGAGAUGGGGACUGAGACAAGGCCCCAGGCCCUACGGGGCGCAGCAGGCGCGAAAACUCCGCAAUGCGCGCAAGCGUGACGGGGGAAUCCCAAGUGCCGUUGGUCUUAUGAUCGACGGUUUUUAGGAAGUCUAAGGAGCUUCCAGAAUAAGGGCUGGGCAAGACUGGUGCCAGCCGCCGCGGUAACACCAGCAGCCCAAGUGGUGACCACGAUUAUUGGGCCUAAAGCGCUCGUAGCCGGAUCAGCAAGUCCCUUGUGAAAUCGGGCCGCCUAACGGUUCGGCGUGCAAGGGAUACUGUUGGUCUUGAGGCCGGGAGAGGUCGGAGGUACUCCUGGGGUAGCGGUGAAAUGCUCUAAUCCUAGGGGGACCACCAGUGGCGAAGGCGUCCGACCAGAACGGACCUGACGGUGAGGGGCGAAGGCUAGGGGAGCGAACGGGAUUAGAUACCCCGGUAGUCCUAGCUGUAAAGCAUGCGGGCCAGGUGUCUAGCGCUCCUUGAGGGCGCUAGGUGCCGGAGGGAAGCCGUUAAGCCCGCCGCCUGGGAAGUACGGCCGCAAGGCUGAAACUUAAAGAAAUUGGCGGGGGA
rnacentral:rRNA from 1 species